rnacentral:rRNA from 1 species
GAUGAACGCUGGCGGCGUGCCUAAUACAUGCAAGUCGAGCGGACCAAAGAGAGCUUGCUCUCUGAGGUUAGCGGCGGACGGGUGAGUAACACGUGGGUAACCUGCCUGUAAGACGGGGAUAACUUCGGGAAACCGAAGCUAAUACCGGAUGAUAAAGAGAAACGCCUGUUUCUUUUUUGAAAGUCGGCCUUGUGCUGACGCUUACAGAUGGGCCCGCGGCGCAUUAGCUAGUUGGUGAGGUAACGGCUCACCAAGGCGACGAUGCGUAGCCGACCUGAGAGGGUGAUCGGCCACACUGGGACUGAGACACGGCCCAGACUCCUACGGGAGGCAGCAGUAGGGAAUCUUCGGCAAUGGACGAAAGUCUGACCGAGCAACGCCGCGUGAGCGAUGAAGGCCUUCGGGUCGUAAAGCUCUGUUGUCAGAGAAGAACAAGUACCGGAGUAACUGCCGGUACCUUGACGGUACCUGACCAGAAAGCCACGGCUAACUACGUGCCAGCAGCCGCCGUAACAC